rnacentral:lncRNA from 1 species
CAGGAGUGAGCCACCCCUCCUGGCCGGGCCCUGCUUUUUUAAACGCUCUUUCAACAGUGUGGUAUUGAAAACUGGGAACACUGAGACAACCGGCAGUAAGUCUACAUUCAGAGCCUCCCACCUCAAGAGGUCUCAUUUGCUGGGACAGUUCUCUCACCACCUCAUUUGGUCAACUUUGGGCACUGACUGGCAAGUUUGUGUCAAGCAAGCAACUGAAUGUAUAGAUUUUAGACUAGCCAGUCCAACAAUGGCAAGUAUUCAUUCUAAGGGCCUCCUGUGUGCUUAGAGCUGCUCCAGGCUCUCAGGAUAUAGCACUAAACAAGACAGACAGGUUCAUGCUCUUGUGGGCCUUAAAGUUUAAUGAGAGAAAAAUAAAUAGAGCACAUAAGACAUAUAUUAGAUGAGUGCCUAUGUCAGUAAUUCACAUAGAAUGAUUGAUGGAACAGCUGAGGAAGGAGCCAGGCAGGGGAAACACAGUGCAAAGGCUCUAACUUGGGGGUAGGUUGGGGGGAAAUACACAGCUUAUUCUGGAAUCCAGGAAAUCAGAUGUGCUAGAGCUUGGUGGGGGUGCCUUUGGCUGAACUCCCCGCAAGCAGAGCCUGAGCAAAAGUUUAGGCAUGAACAGUGCGUAAGGAAGUGAAAUCACAGGGGAGUAGGACUGAGAGAAAAGGGAAGUGAGUCAGGAGAAGAGGGAGAGCAACUACAAGGAAGUGCAUUCCGUGGCUGGGCAUUGCCUCUCGAGUCUGCAGGAGCACCAAGGGUUGGUCAGGAGGCAGUAUGGGGGCAUUACUGAGAGUUUAGGAGGGAUCCAAGAGAAAGGCACUGAUCUAUGGUCUUCAGAGAAACAAUGUAAUGCUUCUGAAGUUCCAAACAUCUGUCGGCAGUGGAGGAAGACUACUGGUGUGGUUGGAAGAAAGAAAACUUACUAGCAGGCUCCCUUCUCCCGUUAGUCAAUUUAGUCUCCCAUUAGUUAACUUAGCCCUCCUAGGUUGCAUUUGAGUGGCCACAAAGUAGCUGCCUGGACAACAUCAGGGAAGUCCCAAGGUGGAAGGCAAGGCAUAUGACAGGAGGUGAGGCACUGCUGGGCUGGCUGUACCUGAGAGCGCCCUGAGGGACUGGGAGCAGCAGCCACAGUGAGCACCUCAAUCCGAAGUAGUAGCAGAAGUAGCAGCAACCCGGCCCCCUGAACACAGUGAUAGUACAGACCACUGCUGGGUUUGCUCUAGCAAAUUGGUGCAUUAUCAUCUAUCUUAGAGGAUGCAUAAAAUGAGCUUAAUACAGUGGCCAGAAGGGAGAGUAAAAAACAAGGUCACAGAGUGCCAGGGCCAGACCAUGGACUGUUUCGCAACCUGGGAUCAAGAACAUAAAAUUUACUCUCAGUUGGAAUUUAUUCUAAGAACAAUGCAAAGUCAUUGAAGGCUCCUUUGAAAUGUAUUUUUUUUAAUUGACAAACAAUAAAAUUCACUUUCUUAAUAAGCAGUUCUGCUUGUUUUAAUAAAUGCACGGUUGAGUAGCCAUCAUUUCUAUCAGAAUUCAGAGCACUGUCACCCCUCCAAAAAUGUUACUGCCCAUUGUAGUGAAGCCUUUGCCCUAACCCUAGCCCCUGGCAAUCACUGAUGUGUUCUUUGCCUCCGUGGUUCUUUCUUUUCAAGAACGUCAGAUCAAUGAAUCAUAUAGUAUGUAGCCUUUCAAGUCUGGCUUCACUUAGCAUGAAGCAUGUGUUAUUCAUUUGUGUUGUUAAGUACAUCAAUGAUUUAUUCCUUUUUAUGGUAUGAAUGUACCAUAGGUUGUUAUUCAUUCACCAGUUGAAGGAAAGUUAGGUUAUUUCCAGUUUGGGGCAAUUAUUAAUAAAGCUACUAAAAUAAUUGCCUACAGUUUUUUCUGUGAAUACAAG